AAUGAACGCUGGCGGCAUGCCUAACACAUGCAAGUCGAACGAAGGCUUCGGCCUUAGUGGCGCACGGGUGCGUAACGCGUGGGAAUCUGCCCUCAGGUUCGGAAUAACAGCGAGAAAUUGCUGCUAAUACCGGAUGAUAUCGCGAGAUCAAAGAUUUAUCGCCUGAGGAUGAGCCCGCGUAGGAUUAGCUAGUUGGUGUGGUAAAGGCGCACCAAGGCGACGAUCCUUAGCUGGUCUGUGAGGAUGAUCAGCCACACUGGGACUGAGACACGGCCCUGACUCCUACGGGAGGCAGCAGUGGGGAAUAUUGGACAAUGGGCGAAAGCCUGAUCCAGCAAUGCCGCGUGAGUGAUGAAGGCCUUAGGGUUGUAAAGCUCUUUUACCCGGGAUGAUAAUGACAGUACCGGGAGAAUAAGCUCCGGCUAACUCCGUGCCAGCCGCCGCGGUAA
rnacentral:rRNA from 1 species